CGAACGGGUGAGUAAUACAUCGGAACGUGUCCGCUCGUGGGGGACAACCAGCCGAAAGGUUGGCUAAUACCGCAUGAGUUCUACGGAAGAAAGAGGGGGACCCGCAAGGGCCUCUCGCGAGCGGAGCGGCCGAUGACUGAUUAGCCUGUUGGUGAGGUAACGGCUCACCAAAGCAACGGUCAGUAGCUGGUCUGAGAGGACGACCAGCCACACUGGGACUGAGACACGGCCCAGACUCCUACGGAAGGCAGCAG
rnacentral:rRNA from 1 species